rnacentral:rRNA from 1 species
UACGUAGGGGCCAAGCGUUGUCCGGAUUUAUUGGGCGUAAAGAGCUCGUAGGCGGUUCGGCAAGUCAGCUGUGAAAUCUCCACGCUCAACGUGGAGGGGUCAGCUGAUACUGCUGUGACUUGAGUCCGGUAGGGGAGUGUGGAAUUCCCGGUGUAGCGGUGAAAUGCGCAGAUAUCGGGAGGAACACCAGUAGCGAAGGCGGCACUCUGGGCCGGUACUGACGCUGAGGUGCGAAAGCGUGGGGAGCAAACAGG